GGUCCGGGUUCAUUGGUUUGCGGAUCACGGGUUGAUUUGAGAUUUUAAAAAACCGUUAAUGUAUGGUUUAGUUCCGAUUCUACCUCCGAUCCAAACCAAACCGGACCCCCGCACCCUGUUAUACUAUUAUGUUCGAGCUAAAAAAUUAGAAAAACAAGAUGAAGCCCCGUUCACGUUUCAACCAGUGAGAUCGUAGUUAAACUUCGUUGGCGAUCACUCCACAAGGUGUGACCUGAAUUUUUAAUUACUUUUGUUACAAUUCUAGCUCCUUUUCUGGUUGAAAUGCGAAUCUAACAAUAUUUUUCAAUUUUAGUGCUUAGAAUUAUGAUAUGAUGCAGUGUUCUAAUGAUUUAGAACAUAAUUCUUAUUCCUUGUUAGGAAUGAACAUCAGAGAAAGAACUAGUAUCUCCUAAUUCCUAGCUAACUUCCUGACAUGCAGUACUGAGUCUUAAUUUAUGGAAAUUACUUUUUUGUCUUUGUGUUCAUGUCUUUGAUGGCCUGAAUUGCUUUUGGUGUUUACCUGAUUCUGCAAAAAUUGCGAAUAAGAACGAGACAUAAUUGAGACUAUGCUAUUGGAUGAACACUCAAGGAGGAGCUGCUUAGUUAAGCUUUGCAUUGAACUACGUUUUAUUUGCAUCCCUCCACGGGAGGCCAGUGUAGUGCUUUUAACCGAUUCUCGAUUUCAAGGCGGUGAUCCCUCCAAAGGAGAGUAUGAUUUGAUUAUCGUAACCUAUUUUUAUUACAAUAAUCAGGUAUACAACUAAUAAAGCUAACUAAGAGCUCUCUUGAUAUUCAUCAGGGCCUCAUGUCACUCAUUGUUUCGCUUUGCUCUGGAAUAAGAAACAAAUGGUCACCAUCCCUGAUUACACUCAAGUCAUCUAUCUCUGCAUUCUCUGAGUUUACCAUCUUCGUGAAAUUGUAGCCUCCAUAUUUUUGACCUGCAUUUUACCAAGUUUCAGGUUUGAUUUCAAAUUUACCUGCGAUCCUGAAUAGCUCGUCAAUCGAACCAGCCUCAGCAGAAUGGUUCAAAGCUUCUGAGCUGGAGCAUAAGGAAUCUUUUUGGUAAGAACUAGAACAAGUGGUGACCCCAGUAUGUGUUUCUUUGAAUUGCUUGUUCCUUGUCUCAUAACUUGACUCUUCAAGAAGCUCUAUUUUCUGCUCAUUUGUUGACCUUGUAUUUUGAUAACUCAGUAAAAGAUCAUAUAUGCAUUUGUUUCCUUGAUUUUCUGCCAAACUUAUUGGUGUACGCCCUUUGGCAUCGAGCUUGUUUACAUUUGCUCCACCUUCCAGCAAUAUCCUUACAUUUUCAGGAUGACCUGUGCGCACAGCAACAUGCAGGGCUGUUUGGUCAUCCUCAGCUAUUGACUUUACUUCCAUACCAUAUCCACUUUUGGUCCUGUCGUUCUCUGCAGCGACUGAGUUCCCUUGUAUCAAAGGUUCACCACUAAGAUCAUAUAUCUGAUUUGCAUGAUAAUAGUUUUCCCCUUCUGCUCGUACAUCAAGCUGUUCUGAAUAGAUUGACCCAGGACGUUUAUGACUCUGAAGGCCAGAGUUUUCAAGAUCCUAUGAAUUGAAAACAAUCAACUUCACAAGAUUUGUAAACCCUCAUAAGUACUUAAAGAGCAAAAGCUAAUUAAUCUUUAUUCUACCUUGUAAAAGUUAUUCAUGAUAAUACGUCCAUCGUCAGAAUUUUCAUGAAUUAUAUUCAUGAGUGCGUUCCUAUUCAGCCUCAAUAUUUGAGAGAUCUCAGUGGUUCGGGCUGUGUAUGGCUGUGGCCGGUGGCAGAGAAGUCCUACUUCUCCGAACAAUUCCCCUUCUGUAACCUUGCCUAUGACCUGUAAUUUUGUUGGACAGGAAUUAAAACCAUGGAGUUAUGGUCAGUGUAUAAUAAAGUUGAAGUAUGUAGUCAAAACCAACUUACUUGAUCAUGUCCAUCAAUAUUCACUAUCAGAUCCUGCCAUCAUAAUUAUGGCCAAACAAGAGAUGUAAGGAUCUAGAACUCCUACGUACAUAUUGAUAGGGAAGAAGAUGAAUGGAUGAGUUAAAAACUUACCACUGCUCCUGAAACCAGUAUAUACAUAUCCAUUGGAGCUUCAUUUUGUAGGAUCACAUCUUCUUUUGGUGGAAAGUACUCGGCCUCCAGUUCAGUAACCUUCAAUAAGGACAUAUAAGAAAGAAAAAGGACUACCAACUGAAAUAGGUUAUCGUGUGAGAGCCCUUGGAAUAGUCUGGCAUUCCGAAUGAUCGGAAAGAAGAGAUGAUUUGAAAUACUUGAUCGGAUGGCUUUUGGCAGGCUACUCAAGGUAUCUUGCUGUUUCAGACCAUCUGUUCUGAACUUGAGACAGAUGUGUGACAAAAGUUGGUUCUGAAUGGAAGGUGGCAAUCGGUUCCGCUUGGCAAAUUCAGAAGCAGCUCCAACGGUGUCUCUCUGCAGAAUACGAAUACAGACAGAUCAGGAAACUGUAAAAAACCAGUGAAAGAAUGUCGAAGGAGGACAUACAAAGUCUCUGGUGCGGCUGGUCCAGUGGACAACAAGGUUUGUCAUGUUCCCUAUGAGGUGAAUAACAUACGAGAACUACUGAUAUACACACUCUGUGGAGAGUGGAGAUAAAGCGAGAGCCGGGAAGGGACCCAACACAUAUUUGAUAAAUCUGGAGAUGGAACUAUUAACAAGGUUUUUGAAGAGGGUCCAUGACCCUGAUCCCGCACAACUAAAACUUGAACUCUUAACCCCUCGUUAGAGGUAUAGUGCGUUACUGGGAGAGCAUGCAGCCUUUGGUAACUUCUAGUCUUUAUCUGUGCGCAUAGAAUUUCAAUAACAUGCAUCUACCAUGUGCACUGAGAUUAUGUUUGGAUGGCCUGGGAAAUUUUCUAACUAAAAAGGUAUUCAUGCUUAGCAUAAAAACAAGACAACUUAAAAUCACACAACUGGAAUAUUGGUCCAGACAAAUGUUUGGUGGCCCUUGAGGCCUGGAUGAUUCAGCUGAACUCGCAUAGUUUAGUGAGUUUGACUCGGGACAGACAAGGAACUCAUGUCACAUAAGCAUCAAAGUAUCAAGCUAAUGAUGGAAGAAGGUUGAGUUGUCUUUCUCAAUGUAUUUGUCAAACAAGGCCACCCUUUUAUAGCUUCAUUUGAAAUACUGUAUUUCAUUGGCGUAUCUGUGUUUUUUUUUUGUUUUUCUACGAGAAACCUUUAAAAGUAAAUUCCGGGUGCGGGCCACCUGCUAGUCCCAACACCAGGUAAAUCGAGUGUUUAUGCACUGGUAGUGGUAGUUGGUCCUCAAGAAAUGUAUGCUGCAGUUGGUCCUCAAGAAAUGUAUGCCGCUCACGAGGAUCGAACUCCUGAAAGUUUUUUGUACAUUAUAAUGUUGAAUUUAUAAGUGUACAAUUGUCAUCA